AACGAACGCUGGCGGCAGGCCUAACACAUGCAAGUCGAACGCACCGCAAGGUGAGUGGCGCACGGGUGAGUAACACGUGGGAAUGUACCCUUUGGUUCGCAAUAACGUCUGGAAACGGACGCUAAUACCGGAUGAGCCCUUCGGGUGAAAGAUUUAUCGCCAAAGGAGCAGCCCGCGUCUGAUUAGCUAGUUGGUGGGGUAAAGGCCUACCAAGGCGACGAUCAGUAGCUGGUCUGAGAGGAUGAUCAGCCACACUGCGACUUAGACACGGCCCCGACUCCAGCGGGAGGAAGCAGUGGGGAAUAUUGGCCAAUAGGCGGAAGCCAGAUCAAGCCAUGCCGCGUGAGUGAUGAAGGCCUUCGGGUUGUAAAGCUCUUUCGCACUCGACGAUGAUGACGGUAGCGUGAGAAGAAGCCCCGGCUAACUUCGUGGCACCCGCCGCCGUAAAAG
rnacentral:rRNA from 1 species